rnacentral:rRNA from 1 species
UACGUAGGGGGCAAGCGUUGUCCGGAUUUAUUGGGCGUAAAGAGCGUGUAGGCGGUUAGGUAGGUCCGUUGUGAAAACUCGAGGCUCAACCUCGAGACGCCGAUGGAAACCCCCUAACUAGAGUCCGGAAGAGGAGAGUGGAAUUCCUGGUGUAGCGGUGAAAUGCGCAGAUAUCAGGAAGAACACCCGUGGCUAAGGCGGCUCUCUAGUAUGGUACUGACGCUGAGACGCGAAAGCUAGGGGAGCGAACAGG